rnacentral:lncRNA from 1 species
GAGCUGUUCCUGCUCCUUUUGUUUUGAAUCCUUCUCUCNCGAAAUACCAGUGCACUGGUUCAUUCAAUGAUGGGAUCCUUUCUUCAGUUGAUAUCACAUCAGGGAUCCCAGUUCCUUUUAAGACCUCUUCUGGAUUUGUCCUCUAGUUCUACUCAGGCUCCUGGCGCAGGCUCUCUGCCUCCCAUUCCUGUUUCUUCCGAGAUUCAGACCUGGGCAAAAGCUGGUCCGAGCCGUAAACAGAAGCUUUUGCAGAUACCCGUGUUUCAACCAACUUGUCUCAGCACGACGACAGUGAAAUCUUUUAUCUCUGCAUUUUUCCAUCAACCAUUUUCUGUGUGUCCCUGAACUAAUUCUGAAACAAUUCUGCUGGUUUCAUGUGAUCCCUGAGAAAAUUACACAUGAGACUGCUGCAAAGGUAAGGAGCUUUCAGGUAUUUAUUAUUAGUGCAAUAGCUAAAAAAUGAAUAACCCAUCUGAUCCAAAAUAAUUGAAAAGCAUGUGCUUUCAGGAUUUAGAUCUUUUCACUAAAACAUUUUAAAGUGUCAACAUAAAUUGUAACACAAAGACCCGAAUUACUCCUUAUGUUUUGCAUAGGGUUCUGAUGAUCCUGGGAAAUAAUUGGACUUUGGAGUAUAUUCCCAGACAUUAUGGCAGCUGCUAUUUCCUAAUUUCGUAGCAAGGAUCACCCUUCCCACUCCUAUUUCAUAUAAAUAUUCGGGACAGCCAUGUGGCACUAUGACUUAGACAUUUAAAUAUGAAAGUAUACACAGACUCCUUGGUCUAAGCAUCAUAGUAACAUGGAUAUGCUCUCAAAACAAAACGAACAUUUUAGACAAUAUCUAAUGGUAAAGCAGUUUCCAUAACCUCUUUGUUUUUAAACAUUUGAUCAUUUUACUAUAGACUAGGACCAAUAAUACACUCAUUUAGAAAAUCAGAUGGAAAACAAAAACAUCCUAACAUUGCCUUAUGAAGUCAUCCAAAAAUGUAUUUGAGCACAUAUAACAGUUAAUAAGGUAAGGUACAUUUUAACAGGUGACUAUAGUUGCAGGGAGAAAAUGAUGCCCUUGUCCUCUGAAACAUGCAGUGUUUGUGUUCUUGUAGAAAUGGCCUGACAUAGAUUUUAGUUAUAUUAUGUUGACAAGUUUUUAUUGUAAAUUAGUAUAUGCAUUAUAUAUUAGUAAAAUUGGUGUUACCCCCAUCUGGCAUUAUUUUCUUCCUAUGCUGCAGUUUUGAUGGUCCUCUGCACAAUAUGGUUUUUAAAAUAUUGAUUUGAUUUAGAUUUCUCUUUUGUUCAUUCUCUUUGCAUUUGGUUAUUUGAUAAAAAUAAGCCAUUAACGCUUCUAUUU